GGAAUAUUGGACAAUGGGCGCAAGCCUGAUCCAGCAAUGCCGCGUGGGUGAAGAAGGUCUUCGGAUCGUAAAGCCCUUUCGACGGGGACGAUGAUGACGGUACCCGUAGAAGAAGCCCCGGCUAACUUCGUGCCAGCAGCCGCGGUAAUACGAAGGGGGCUAGCGUUGCUCGGAAUCACUGGGCGUAAAGGGCGCGUAGGCGGCCAUUCAAGUCGGGGGUGAAAGCCCAGGGCUCAACCCUGGAAUUGCCUUCGAUACUGUUUGGCUUGAGUUUGGUAGAGGUUGGUGGAACUGCGAGUGUAGAGGUGAAAUUCGUAGAUAUUCGGAGGAACACCAGUGGCGAAGGCGGCUCACUGGC
rnacentral:rRNA from 1 species